UACGAAGGGGGCUAGCGUUGCUCGGAAUCACUGGGCGUAAAGCGCACGUAGGCGGCUUCUUAAGUCGGGGGUGAAAUCCUGGAGCUCAACUCCAGAACUGCCUUUGAUACUGAGGAGCUUGAGUCCGGGAGAGGUGAGUGGAACUGCGAGUGUAGAGGUGAAAUUCGUAGAUAUUCGCAAGAACACCAGUGGCGAAGGCGGCUCACUGGCCCGGUACUGACGCUGAGGUGCGAAAGCGUGGGGAGCAAACAGG
rnacentral:rRNA from 1 species